CUCGCGAUGCAAUUCGUUCUAGUUUCGUUCCUUUCGUGUAGUGUUUCCCGCAAAAAAGAAAGUUUUAGGGUCCCGAUGAGUCAAUUAAAGGCUCUCAAUCAGGUGUAAGGAUAUGCGCCCUUUCUAUCUAGGAAAGCUCUUCGGUCCGCUCCGAUUUCGGCAGAAGAAGUGGAAUUCGAUGUGAUUGCUGAUUGUGUGGUGCUGUUUUAGUAUUUAGUGGUGGGUGGUUUCUUAUCCGUUCUGUGUCCCUAAUCAAAGCGUGUAAAGUGGGCUGCGAUAAUGAUUUGCGGUGUCGAUCGAAUCCCCAAAUGAUUAGUCAUGUUUGAAGAGGUUUAUUAGUGCAUCCCGUAAAGAUUACGGUGGGUGUUGCUUGUUCUCCACCGAUUUCGCUGCGACACCUUCCUCUCCUGGAACCAAUCUUCCAGCGAUUGUUCGAGAGCAUGCAGAAGCUGGCCAUAUGAGUGAUCCAACACGAAUCCAGACUGACAACGUCCUGAUUUUGGAAACGCCAGCAACAUCUGGACAGUGCAUCGUAUUUCACCACCGGCGCUCGGGCAUCCACUGACGACAACAGAGUGACGCGUGACGGCUGCAUGCACAGUAGGCGGUAUCCGGUA